GAUGAAGAACGUAGCGAAAUGCGAUACUUGGUGUGAAUUGCAGAAUCCCGUGAACCAUCGAGUCUUUGAACGCAAGUUGCGCCCGAAGCCAUUAGGCCGAGGGCACGCCUGCCUGGGCGUCACACAUCGUUGCCCCCCCAUCUACUCCUUCGGGAUUGCGGGGGGCGGAUGAUGGCCUCCCGUGCGCCUUGUCGCGCGGUUGGCAUAAAUGCCAAGUCCUCGGCGACGCACGCCACGACAAUCGGUGGUUGCGAAACCUCGGUUGCCCGUCGUGUGCGGUCGUCGCGCAUCGAGGGCUCGAAAAAAUUGUCGGGCUCCGGCUCGGCUUUCAACGCGACCCCAGGUCAGGCGGGGUUACCCGCUGAAUUUAAGCAUAUCAAUAAGCGGAGGA
rnacentral:misc_RNA from 1 species